CACAAGCGGUGGAGUAUGUGGUUUAAUUCGAUGCAACGCGAAGAACCUUACCUGGUCUUGACAUCCCGGAGACCCUUAGGAAACUAGGGGUGCUUCCAUCUGGAAGAAUUUGGAGACAGGUGCUGCAUGGCUGUCGUCAGCUCGUGUCGUGAGAUGUUGGGUUAAGUCCCGCAACGAGCGCAACCCUUGCCUUUAGUUGCCAGCAGUUCGGCUGGGCACUCUAAAGGGACUGCCGGUGUUAAACCGGAGGAAGGUGGGGAUGACGUCAAGUCCUCAUGGCCUUUAUGACCAGGGCUACACACGUACUACAAUGGCCGAUACAAAGGGCAGCGACACUGCGAGGUGAAGCCAAUCCCGUAAAAUCGGUCUCAGUCCGGAUUGGAGUCUGCAACUCGACUCCAUGAAGUUGGAAUCGCUAGUAAUCGUGGAUCAGCAUGCCACGGUGAAUACGUUCCCGGGCCUU
rnacentral:rRNA from 1 species